UGACCGUGGUUGUGUCGUGCCAUUUGUUGA
rnacentral:piRNA from 1 species